CCUACGGGGGGCAGCAGUCGAGAAUCAUUCACAAUGGGGGAAACCCUGAUGGUGCGACGCCGCGUGGGGGAAUGAAGGUCUUCGGAUUGUAAACCCCUGUCAUGUGGGAGCAAAUUAAAAAGAUAGUACCACAAGAGGAAGCGACGGCUAACUCUGUGCCAGCAGCCGCGGUAAUACAGAGGUCUCAAGCGUUGUUCGGAAUCACUGGGCGUAAAGCGUGCGUAGGCUGUUUCGUAAGUCGUGUGUGAAAGGCGCGGGCUCAACCCGCGGACGGCACAUGAUACUGCGAGACUAGAGUAAGGGAGGGGGAACCGGAAUUCGCGGUGUAGCAGUGAAAUGCGUAGAUAUCGAGAGGAACACUCGUGGCGAAGGCGGGUUCCUGGACAUUAACUGACGCUGAGGCACGAAGGCCAGGGGAGCGAAAGGGAUUAGAUACCCGGGUAGUC
rnacentral:rRNA from 1 species